GUGGGGAAUCUUGCGCAAUGGGCGAAAGCCUGACGCAGCCAUGCCGCGUGAAUGAUGAAGGUCUUAGGAUUGUAAAAUUCUUUCACCGGGGACGAUAAUGACGGUACCCGGAGAAGAAGCUCCGGCUAACUUCGUGCCAGCAGCCGCGGUAAUACGAAGGGGGCUAGCGUUGCUCGGAAUUACUGGGCGUAAAGGGCGCGUAGGCGGACAGCCUAGUCAGAGGUGAAAGCCCAGGGCUCAACCUUGGAAUUGCCUUUGAUACUGGCUGUCUUGAGUUUGGGAGAGGUGAGUGGAACUCCGAGUGUAGAGGUGAAAUUCGUAGAUAUUCGGAAGAACACCAGUGGCGAAGGCGACUCACUGGCCCAAUACUGACGCUGAGGCGCGAAAGCGUGGGGAGCAAACAGGAUUAGAUACCCCAGUAGUCC
rnacentral:rRNA from 1 species